UAGAUCAGUGAUGACUGGUGGUGGCAUAUGAUUCAUGGAUCACGACUACCGGUCUAGGAGUCUGAGGUGUAC